CGCCGAUCUCAAUAUCUUCUACAGAAGAAAGUAUAUUACCCCCAACACAGGGGACACCCCUACGACCAUGUGAAUUCUCCGAGUCGGACUCGGACAUUAUCAUUCCCCCGUAAGUUACAUCUAACAUUCAGAGUUUCACUCUUUGCAUCACUUUAAUAAUCAUUCCAAAUCAUUCAUUGUAAUUUUAAUUUCAAAUCUAUUUCAGCUCCCAGUUCCAUAUGGACCAGGAGAAAAAGAGGAAU